AAUCUUUAGAAUGGUACUUCAAUACUGACCACACAGAUUUUUGCCGCUGUUUAUAUGAUGUUUUUUCUUCACAGGAACCAGUGUCCGAGGAAAAGAAGGAAGAUAAUGAGGCAAUGGGCAGAGUGGAUGAGGGAGUGGAAGAGUUUUUCGCCAAGAAAAUCAUUCCUGACUGUGCAUUAAAAGGCCGAUGGGAGGAGUCAAACCCUGCCCAAAUCCUUCCCACAGUGCCAAGUUCCACCCCUUUUUCCACUCUGUCUGACAUCACUCCAUCUACCACCACUCCCAUCAUCUCUCCCUCUGCCACAUCUACUGAUACCUCCCUUCCAUCCAUUAAUGUUCACUCCCUUUCCUCAUCUACCACCUUCCCAUCCACAACUUGUUCCUCCACCACCACAAUUCCUACAAAAAAUAUAAAGAAAAAGUUUGGUGACUUCUUCGCCUUCAAGAGGGCUCGAGCAGGCCGAGCUGCCAAGACAGGCAGUGGAGAUGGAGGACAUGGAGCUGAAGGGGUCAAGGUCAAAAGGACCUCCAUUGCAGAUCUCAUUCGACCCCUCCGAGAGGCCAAAGACAGGGACAGAGACAAGGAGAGGGAGAAGGAAAGAGAGAAGGAGACAGAGGAGGAUGCUAACAUUUAUAAUGAUGCCACUACUACAGAAGGAACUGCCGCCCCCGGUCGCUAUCUUGCAGACGUUGUGAGGGAAACGGUAACCCCCCCUGAGUCAUUAAGCACAACACAAUCCAGUGAGAUGACUCCUUUCUACCCCACCAUAACAACAAACCCCAAACUCACCACCUUUGUGCUUUCUGAACCGGAGCAAGCAGCAGUUCCUGUACUACCACACCUCAGCACCACUCCUGCAGUCAUUACAACACCACCUGAGCCAGAAGCUCCAUCAUAUGUGGAGAGGAGACACAAGGUGACCAAAAGACUGAGAGAAAACAAGAGCCAGAGUCUCAUACUGCUGACAGGAAUAGAGCCAGAUGACAAGGAUAAUACACCCAAUAAGAAACAUGCAUCUGAUGGUGCACCUGGCUUUGAACAGAGGCUUCAGGUGAUGCUGCACAGAAUGGGAGUGUCCAAAACUCCACCUGCUGAAACCAAGAUGUGCCAGGUAGACAGGAAUAAAGACGAGGAGCUGAGAAAAGCCACCUCUGAAGGUGCUAUCCUAAACAAACCAGAACUACCUCCCAAAGACAUCAAGUCCAGAAUAAUGUCCACUUCAAGAGCUGAGUCCGGACAUCCUCUGAGAGUGCAAGACUCCAACCGACCAGAACUGCUUUACCCAAAGCCUGCCCUUCCUGAGUGCAUCAUGGGUCCUCUGCCCCCCAAACCUUCCUUAGCAGCCAAACUCCCCCCACCCAUCCCAGCUGCUCGCCCCUCCUCUGCUCCUGCCUUCACCAGCUCAACAGAGCAGGUCCACCUUACAGCCCACAGACAUGAUGGCAGGCCAAUGGAAACAGAGCAGAAUGGCAGCAGGGACGGUGUGCAGGGUGAAAUCCCCCCCCUGUCUCCAAGGAAGGAACUUCAUUCUUCAGCCCCAAAAUCUCACAGAGAAGACAGCGCAUCAGAUCGCAACGAGAAAGUACAAUCUGUCACUGAGGAGAGUCUUCCUAAGCUACGCCAACACUUGAAGCCCCUCCCACAGCGUAGAGCUGUAUCUGUCCAUGAGGAGGCACUGACCAUGACGCAAGAACUCAAGGCUGUAUUACAGAAGUCACCCAUCCGUUUCCGGGGCAACCGCUGGGAUCUGCCCUCCUGCAAAGAAGAUGAAGCACAUGCAAACAAGCCAGAUGAUGAAAAGAAGGUCAAGAGUCAGAUGGAUGAACAAGAGGCAGAGAGAGGACAAGCAAGCUGUGGAGAUACAGUGCCUCCAACCAAGCAGCUACUUUCACAAGAGGUAGAAGUACCCAGAUGCAGUGCAUCUGACAAGACUUUUACUGUGAUAGAGAGACCUCCCAUACUACCCAGGAAAGUGGAAAAGUUACCUGUAAACCUUGCAUCUAAGAGAAAGAGUCCAACCAGAAUCUCAGCUUCCUCACCAUUGCAAGAAAAAGUCCACAACACGUUGCCAGUUGGCUCUAAAUCCACAGAGAUAUCCCGCAUAAGCCCGUCCUCCCAGAAAAACAGAUUUGUCGCAUUGGAUCAGGGUAAUAACCCACAAGGGAAAGGAGAGGCACUUUCCCCACAGCACACAAAGAUGGCCGAGCCAGCAGAGCUCAGAAGUGAGCCCUGUCUGUUUGACUGAUGCACACAACAGUCUGACCUAGAAGAGCUCUGUCACAUCACUGACGUCAGGAAGUACGCAGCCUGUCACAGUGGAACAGUGUUGCAAGAUGGAAUCCAGAGCAACAGAACCAGGGGCACCAGGAAGGAGCUGCAUGGUGCAAUCUUGGGGACAAUGAGGUGGUAAAGAGACAGUUAACUUUUUGUUGAAAUCUCGCUUGAGAUUAACUCAGUAUUCUGUGAGAAUAGUGGACAACUUAAUUGUCAGGCUCUGGGGGACGUUCCAGGGGACUUUUAGGAAUGGUGGCAUGUAGCAUUUCUUGUGACAGUGCUCCUGGACAUAAUAAGAUAGGCUGACAAAUUAAUGACCAGAGCAAGUUGGCCCAUGCUCUGGGUUAUCAACCCAGUGAGACAGAAAACACAGUAGUUUAAAAUAAGUAUGAGAUUUGAGUAAAACCACUGUGACAGAAGGGAGGAAACUAUGUAAAACCACUGACAUGAUCUCCAAUAGCUUCCUGACCCACAUGUGGAAAUCAGGCUCAGAAACAAAAUUUAAAUAUUAAGGUAAGAAUGUGAAGAUCCUCUGUCAGGAGACGCCACAUAUUCACAAACCAAAACAAAAACACUCACAUGGAUCCCAACAUCCACUCCAAGGACUAUCAUUUAUAAGCCAUAUUGAGCUAAGCAUGUUUGUGUGAAUAUAUUCAUAGAUAAAAUAUUUAAAUAAAUAAAACUGUGGAGGUUGUUUUUCUAAAGUUUAGAGUUAAAGAAUUACCACUGGAGAAAUUAUCUCUAAUUACAGGGGUAACUGUACAAAUAAUCAUGGUUUGGCACAUUUUCUGUUUGCUUCAAUCAAGAGAAACAAAUAAAAAGUGGCCAUUAAAGAACUUCUGCUCGAGGUUGUUUAAGGUGAGUAGUUCAGCAUAGCGCAAACCAAGCUACGUGGCAUACUGAUGGUGAAAAAUCCCUACCCUGACAAAGUUGUUUUUGUCCACUUGCUUUCUCUGCUGUAGCGGGAUGAGGAGCCUCAAUGUUCCCAAAUGUCAGAGUUUAGUGAUCAUUAAAACACCUCUCUGUUUUGGUGUCACUGUUUAAAGUUGGUUCUGAACAUAAACAUUCUGCAGGUGUUCAGGUAUAAGACAACAAUGUACUCAUUUGGUAUAUUGUUGUACCAAGCCAACAGGGUUGUACUGGGUAAUUUUGGUAAAAAAUAUAUGUACUGUUACAUCUCUAAUUACUGGUGUAAAGAAAGAAUGAAAGAAUGAAACAAAGUCAUUAUGCUCUGGGCUAAGAUCUGUAUAUUUCCAUCCAUAGUCGUUCUGGCAACCUUAAGCUUGGAGGAUACUUCAUAAAUCCAACAUCAUGUCUUCUUUGUAUCCCAGUUUCACUUUCAGACAACUAAUGGUCAUUUAAGGGAAAAACAAGCAGCUUCUAAAUACCAGUGACAGAGAGUUUAUUGAGAUGCAUUAAGUGUACUUUACAGUCCAAAAUUCAACUACAGUACAAAGAAGCAAACAGAGAUUUUCUUGGAUUAUAUUCAUAUCUUAAUAUGUCAAUUAAAGUCUAACACAGAAACAUAUUCAUCAGUAAAUGGUCUUUCACUUCUGAAAAUAAAACAUUUAUGGGGCGUCAUGAAAAAUAACAUCCACCUAUUUUUA